CCGGGAGGAGGCAUCAGAGAGCCAACAGCUGCUUGUCCCAGAAGAAGCGAGGAGGCAUUGAUUCAACCAAUAUCAUGUACUGUAACUGCCCUCCCAAGGCUGCUUGACUCCCGCUGAUUGCUCGGCAUCCACCCAUGGUCAGCGCGUAUGCCUGGCUCUGGCUCCCUCCAUCUGACAGCGCAUAUGCUUGGCUCCGGCUCUCAAAUGGUGACAUCCCACUGCCCGGCUCCCUCCACCUGAUAGUGCAUAUGCCUGGAUCCCGCAUGCUGACACCCCGCUGCCCGGCAACUGAUUCCGACAGAGACGUGGACUAGAAGACCAAGGGGACCGAUAGGCAGUGAGUCAAGCCGUAAUCCGGUA